rnacentral:tRNA from 1 species
GAAAUAUUUAUGUCAAAAAAAGAAACUUCUAACUUCAUUUUAAGCGGUUGAAUUCCGUUUAUAUUUCU